UGCCAGACUCCUACGGGAGGCAGCAGUGGGGAAUAUUGCACAAUGGGGGAAACCCUGAUGCAGCGACGCCGCGUGAGUGAGGAAGUAUUUCGGUAUGUAAAGCUCUAUCAGCAGGGAAGAAAAUGACGGUACCUGACUAAGAAGCCCCGGCUAACUACGUGCCAGCAGCCGGGGUAAUACGUAGGGGGCAAGCGUUAUCCGGAUUUACUGGGUGUAAAGGGAGCGUAGGCGGCUGUGUAAGCCAGAAGUGAAAGCCCGGGGCUCAACUCCGGGACUGCUUUUGGAACUACAUGGCUUGAUUGCAGGAGAGGCAAGUGGAAUUCCUAGUGUAGCGGUGAAAUGCGUAGAUAUUAGGAGGAACACCAGUGGCGAAGGCGGCUUGCUGGACUGUAAAUGACGCUGAGGCUCGAAAGCGUGGGGAGCAAACAGGAUUAGAUACCCCUGUAC
rnacentral:rRNA from 1 species